GCCCAACAGUUUGUCUUCUCAGAGUCUGCUCUUCUGGAAUAACCUUGUUUGCUCUCCUGGAAGGACCUUGAAGAGGAUUUUGCCUGUGAUCAAUGGAGGAAGGAGUUUUUCUGGAUCUGGCUGCUGGCAGCAUCAGUCUGCACUUACUUGGACAUCUAACAACUUAAGAUCCUGCUCUAUUUCAUUUAGACUCCUGAUUUCUUUCUAGGAGCUCUCUUAAUGGUGGCAAAGAACUUGAAAUUGAGAGGCUGCUUAUCAGUUGGGGAAUGGCUGAACAAAUGGUGGCAUAUGAUUGCGAAAGAAUGCUACUGUUCUAUAAGAAAUGAUGAGCAGAAUUAUUUCAGAAAAACUUACAUGAACUCUACAAAGUGAAGUCAGCAGAACUUGGAGAAUAUUAUGCACAGCAACAGCAAUAUUGUUUAAUGAACAAUUGUGAAUGACAGCUAUUCUUACCAAUACCGUGAUCCAAGACAAUCCUCAAGCACACAUAUUGAAAAAUACAUCUGCCUCCAGAGAAAGAACUGAAGGGGUCAGAAUACAGAACAAAACACACUAUAUUUUACUUUCUUUCUUCAUUUUAUUUUGAGUUCUCUUCUACAAAAUGGUUAAUAUGAAAAAUGUCUUACAUUAUUAUAUAUGUAAAAUAUAUAUCAGUUUGCUUGCCAUCUCAGAGGAAGGAAGGAUUAGAAGGAGAGAAUUUGUUUCAAAAUUUAAAUAAAAUAAAUGUAAAAAUUGUUUUUAAAUGUAAUUGAGGAAAAAUUAAAUAUUAUAUAAGAAAAAAAGAUAAUUCUUUAUAUAAGGAGAAGUUUGGAGUUUUGUGCCUGGCACAUUGGAACAGAUGAAUAAAUCCUUGCUGAGUGAGUGAUUGACUAAAACAAUCAUGCAAUUUCCAAAGGGAAUCCAGACUACUAAAAAAACUUCUGCUUAAUUCUAACUUUAAGUCUAUCUGAAAUAUCUCUAAUAUACACAUAUCAAAUCCA